rnacentral:misc_RNA from 1 species
GCAAAAGCCGUCACCUUAGCCUUUCUUUCUGUAAAAAAAUACUUGCUCGCUCGCAUACGAGGUGGUUUCCUAGACAAUAAAAAAAGGGCAAGUUCGUUAGACAAUUCCAAAACCGACGAUUUGGCGCUACUGGCGGUAGUUGUGGUGGUGAUACAUUCUCCUCCUUUCCCUCUUCCUCUAGUCUGUCAUCACGGUGGCGUUUGUGGUGACCGUGACGGGCAAGGCGGUGGUGGUUAUUCGUCGAAUCAAAAAAACACAAAGAAAAGAAGAAGAAGAAGAAG